CACGGGGGUUGCAAGCGUUGUCCGGAAUUACUAGGCGUAAAGGGCAGGUAGGCGGAUCUAUAAGUUUAAUGUUUAAGGCAACGGCUCACCCGUUGUACGGCAUUAGAUACUGUAGAUCUGGAAUACGGUUGGGGAAGACAGAAUUCCUGGUGUAGCGGUGGAAUGCGCAGAGAUCAGGAGGAAUACCGAAGGCGAAGGCAGUCUUCUAAGCCGUUAUUGACGCUAAACUGCGAAGGUGUGGGUAUCAAACAGGAUUAGAUACCCUGGUAGUCCACACAGUAAACGAUAAUCACUAGGUGUUGGGUUCGUAGAGAAUUCGGUGCCGUAGCUAACGCGAUAAGUGAUUCGCCUGGGGAGUACGAUCGCAAGGUUGAA
rnacentral:rRNA from 1 species